UAUCAGGGAAAUCAUUUCAGAAAAGCUGUCCAUGAUACAGUGGGCAGGCGCACCUCGUGCCAGUAAGGAGCCUCUUCCUGAGACGAGCAACCGAGGAAACGCCAAUUAAGCGAGGAGGCUGUGGAAGGGGAUGCCCCUGGCUUCCCAGGGUGCAGAGCAUGGAUGCUUAGCUGAGGGGUGGGGCUGGAACCUGGCUGCUAAAGCAGUUCUGCCAGCAGGAGCAGGGAUGGCCAGGCAGCAGCACAGGUCACUGCCCUGCGUGGUCACCAUGCAUCGCGGAUUUUAGCUUACGUUUACUGAUGGCUUCUGUCCACAAAAGACAUAGUGGCACUCAGUUGCUCAUUUGUGUAUUUUAAUUAACUAAUUCCUAUUCACACACUCAUUCAUUUAGCCAUUCAUGCAGUUUUCAGAUGUUUAAUGAGCAUCUACUAUGUGCUAAGCAGCUUCAUAAUAAACACACACUUAUUCAUAAAUCCAUGCAUCUGUAGACUUCAAAUGUUCAAAUGUUCAUAGAUGGCUUGGGGCUUGCAGGGACAGAUCUUCCAGUGUCGCCAGGAGCCUCUGGGAUGGCGGGAAACGCUUCCUACGGGGGGUUGGGGGGUGGCAUUUGAGUUUCAUGUGGGGAAGGCCCAGGGCAGCUCUAAGCUGAGUGCAGAGUCCCAGGUCCCAAAAAUAGUGAGGCUUCCGGGUCGCGAGGUCACACCAGCAUCCGUGACGUCAGCAGGCCAGCUGCGGGCCCUUAGCCACAGAGGUUCACAUCGUGUGGGCUGUGGGUCCCACGGUCCCAGAGUCAGCCGGGCGCCCUCUGGCUUGGCCUUGGGAUGCCCAGGGACAUGCGUGGUGCAGCUGGGGCAGCAGGAGCGCACUCUACCGUGAAAUAUUCAUGGCUGCUGGCAAAGCCCGGCCCCGAAAUAUAGUUUGCAGAAGAAAAAGAGCCAUCAGGCAUUUAAUCGUUGUGUUAAUGAGGCUCUAUUUGGAAGCAAACUCCAUCUGACUGCGUCCCAGCCAGCAAGAGUCAGGGCCCGGCCAACCUGUGUUGCCGGCCGCAGGGGCAGCCUCAUCCCUGAGACAGCAACAGGAGACACACCCGGGCAAGGCACAGGCCUGGCUCGAGGCCAUGGCCCGCGGCCCUCCACUUCAGGGGAGCCCACGAGAUUAUAACGGCAUCCUGAGGUUUGCCAAAAAGCAUCCUUUUAAGCAGAAAGCAAGCAACCGCCCUGCGUGGAGGCUCCACAGAUCCAGUCUGGCUGAGCAGGGGCUAGACCAACUCAUUUUCCCCAAGCAGCUUCCUCGGGGGAAACGCUGCCCUCCUGCCUCCAGCUCCCCCUGCCGCCCAGGCCGCCACAGGCCAGUGUCCUCCAAGGUAGGAGGCACCCUGUGGACACCCCCACAGGAGCUUCCCAAGCUGACUUCCCGGGCUACCCCAGCUCAGCCCUGCCUCAGGUUUUGUUCUCCUGAGGGCCCCUGUCUGGGGCAAAGGUGUCACAGCUCCACCAACGCCAGGCUCUUCCUACAGUGCCAAGGACGCCCACCUGCUUCUCAGCCGAGCCUUCUGGCCUGGGUCUACUCUUGGCCAAUGGCCGGUGCCCCUCUGGAAAGGGCUGUCUCGCACCUACAUGCCCCUCUGAGUUGCUUUUCAGAAGUAAUUUCCAUGUAAUGAGAACACAGGGAAAUCUCAUUAUUUCAGACACCACUAAUUAGGGGUUUGUGAUCAGCCUGUCCAGGGCCAGCAGAAGCUGACAUUUGCUUUCUGCACAGACACUGCAAAUUAACAGCCAGACAAGAUUGCCCGGACCUUUACAAAGCCCGAAGCAGCUCCUGCAGCCGUGGUCAGCGUCAGCAGCCGCCCUUCUUCGCCAGGGAAGAAGCAAGGCUAGGAGGGGUCAGAGCUCUUCCCAGAUGGCACACGCCAGGCCCAUGCUGCCUGCCCUUACCCACUCCUCCGGUCCAGCACUUAAGAGACGUGGCGUCUGGAAAUUCUGUCCCAUCCCAGCUUCCACAACACCCACUGAGACCCAUGCCAACGCGCCCCGCCCAUGAGAACCCAGGUCACUCCGGUGACUGUGGAAGAAAUUUCUGGGUGUCACGUUGGUCCAGUCCCAGGUAUAGCCCAGACCCUGUGUCUGGGAAUCAGUGGGCUUCACAGGCACACACCAUGGGGUGUGCACCCCAAAGCACCACAGCUUGUCACAAGUGGGGGGACCCUGGGGUCUCCUCUCUCUCUCCCCCCCCCACUCCCCAGGCUGUUCUGCUCUCAACUAGGAGGCUUCCAUCUGGAUUCCAGCCCACCCCCAUGCACGGGACGCAGGAGCUCUGGGUGCCGCCACUCCAUGAAGGGUGAUUGUGGUGAUGUAUUUGACCUUCUGGCAGCAAUAAUCAAACCUGGAAAUCUGGGCAGGCACCUGUUCGGGACUCCUCCCCUGUUGCUAGGAAACCCACUCCUGCCGAUCCCACCCUGCUCCAUCCAGAGACAGUGGGAGAGACCCUCCUGCAGCUGAGGCCAGGGCAGGGGAUGGCUGGAAAUGGAUGGGGACAGCAGUGGCCUUUGCACUGGCUGACUUCACAGCAGAGCUCCCACGGGUGCCAAGAAACAGAAUGUAGGGCGCCGCCCUCCCUGUGAGCCCUUCCAGGUGCUGCAGGUCCACCCCAGCCCUCCCCCCAACUCCCCCUCCACUUCUUGCACCCCCUCUACCCACCCUCUCCCUCCCCCUCCUCCACCUACUUCCACAGACUCCAAUCUGUUUCUCCUGCUCCAGGUCACUUAGAAUCUUGUGGCGCAUCCCUCGGUACCUCUCUCUGCCUGCGCACCGUAAACACCCAGACUGCAGGGCCAUACCUGUCUCUUCCUGGUCUCCCCAGCAUCCUGCAGAUUAGUGGCCCUUCAGACACUUUGCACCCCAGUAGCGGGUGGGGAGGCUGGUGGAAAGUGAGCCCUGUGGCUCCUGGAGAAACGGCAAGCAGCUGGCAGUGUUGCACAAGGGUCCCCCCAACCCAGCUGACCUCACCAGGUCAUUCAUGCAAGAAUGCGGGACCAAUGGGUUUCUGCCAGGCGUGCCAGGGCUGAGAGCACCCCUGUGUCCUCACAGCCCCCACUGUCCAGGGACAGCAGAGUCCUCCUUCCCUUUGCCAUUUCCAUGUUUCUCAUUUCAAUAAUUCUUGCAGCCCAUGUUGUGUAAAUAAAAUUAUUCUUCCCAAAAAACUCAUUAGCAGGGCCCGACAUUAAUUCCCCUGCAAUCUGUGUAAUUAACUGCAUGUAAUAUAGGGCAUUAAAGGACCGGUUUGCUAAUCACCACUCCUCCACUCCACGCACCUAAUUAAAUCUCCUUCCUGUUUAUCCACUUACAGAAUCCUCUGCAAAGAUACCAGGCACCGGGAACACUGCUGUAAUACAUCUUUGUGUAAUUUUAGAGGGUGCAGUCCCACGCCGUGUGUUUGCAUUUCAUUCCCACUGCUGAGCCCCUCCUCCCAGCAGCCACAUCUCCCCAUGACUCCGCUGAGCCGUGGCUCUGUGGAAAGCACUCUGUGGCCCCCUGUGGGGUGGGAGGGCGGGAUGCUGUAGUGCUGAGCGAGGUGGGCUUGGGAAGGGGCGAUCCCAGGAGCCCGGCUCCAGCACCAGCAGCAGCACAGCCCUCUCAGGUUCCGGUACCUUCCCCACUGCAGUGGCUUACACUAGAGCCUUUCACGUGGUCCCACUCCCAUGCCUGCCUUCAUGACGGGGGCUGGGUCCUUGGGCCAUUCCUCCUGGCUGUCCAGUCCCAUUACACAGGGGCCGGCGGGGACGCAUGGAAUGAUGUUGCCCUGCCACUUAUGGGCCGGCCAGUGGGCCCCACAUGCCAUUACAGGUGUCCUUAGAGGAGGGGAAGCGGGAGCUUUGACACCAAAGAGACCACGUGAAGACACAGCAGAGACUGAAGGGGUGCCUGCAGCCGCCAGGAGCUGGAAGAGGAAGGAUCCCCCCGCAGAGCCUUCGGUGGGAGGGUGACCAGCCACACCUUGAUUUGGGACUUCUGGCUGGCAGAACGGGGAGAGCAUGGAUUUCUGCUAUUUUGAGCCUCCAGUCUGUGGCAAUUUGUAACUGCAGCCCCAGGACACAAAUACAGCUACUAAAUCAGAAUCUGAAUUGGGACGAGACCCCCAGAUGAUGCGAAGCAUGACAUUUGGGAGGCUCUGGACUAAAUGCUGUCUGGAGCCUGAGUCAUCUCUCGGCCCAGCAAGACCUGGGUCUGAACUCCACACUUAUGAGCACGCAGACCCCUUUAUGUUCAAAUGACCGUGUGUUGCUCCUCUCCCUGCAUCGGUCCUUUUAAUCCUCCCACCCCACAGGGG